UACGAGGGGGGCGAGCGUUGUCCGGAAUCAUUGGGCGUAAAGCGCGUGUAGGCGGCCCGGUAAGUCCGCUGUGAAAGUCGAGGGCUCAACCCUCGGAUGCCGGUGGAUACUGUCGGGCUAGAGUGCGGGAGAGGCGAGUGGAAUUCCUGGUGUAGCGGUGAAAUGCGCAGAUAUCAGGAGGAACACCAAUUGCGAAGGCAGCUCGCUGGAACGUAACUGACGCUGAGACGCGAAAGCGUGGGGAGCAAACAGG
rnacentral:rRNA from 1 species